rnacentral:tRNA from 1 species
GGCCUGUUAGCUCAGCUGGUUAGAGCGUGGUGCUAAUAACGCCAAGGUCAUGGGUUCGAUCCCCACAUGGGCCA